AGUGAACGCUGGCGGUAGGCCUAAUACAUGCAAGUCGAACGGCAGCACAGUAAGAGCUUGCUCUUACGGGUGGCGAGUGGCGGACGGGUGAGGAAUACAUCGGAAUCUACUUUUUCGUGGGGGAUAACGUAGGGAAACUUACGCUAAUACCGCAUACGACCUACGGGUGAAAGCAGGGGAUCUUCGGACCUUGCGCGAUUGAAUGAGCCGAUGUCGGAUUAGUUAGUUGGGGGGGUAAAGGCCCACCAUGGCGACGAUCCGUAGCUGGUCUGAGAGGAUGGUCAGCCACACUGGAAGUGAGACACGGCCCAGGCGCCUGCGGGAGGCAGCAGUGGGGAAUAUUGGACAAUGGGCGCAAGCCUGAUCCAACCAUACCGCGUGGGUGAAGAAGACCUUCGGGUUGUAAAGCCCUUUUGUUGGGAAAGAAAAGCAGCAGGUUAAUACCCCGCGGUUCUGACGGUACCCAAAGAAUAAGCACCGGCUAACUUCGUG
rnacentral:rRNA from 1 species